UGUUCUUCCCUUUAUAUUUCCCUGAUGAUGAAGCGAGUGUUCUUUGACAAUUUUGUCCCUACAGUAUCGGCGAGGGGAAGGGUAGUUUAGGAAAGAAAAAGUGAAGCGUUUUGAUUGGUGGAGAGUCGUGGUUUAUGCCUUGUUGGCAUCGGUUGAGUAGUGGUGUGAUACUGUGGUUGGUUUAGUGGACGCUCUCGUGCACCGUUUCGUUUACGUC